GUUGAACAGUGUCAACAAGUAUGACUACGUGCUCACUGGUUACACGAGAGACAAGUCCUUCCUGGCCAUGGUGGUGGACAUCGUGCAGGAGCUGAAGCAACAGAACUCUCGACUCGUGUACGUGUGUGACCCUGUGAUGGGAGACAAAUGGAACGGGGAAGGCUCCAUG